rnacentral:rRNA from 1 species
UAGCGUAUGUUAAAGUUGUUGCGGCUAAAAAGCUCGUAGUUGGACUUCUGCUAAGAGCAACCGGUCCGCACUUCGUGCGUGUAUCUGGUUUUUAGCUUUUGGCAUCCUCUCGAAAGACGUGUCUGCGCUUGAUUGCGUGGCGCGGAGUUCGGGACUUUUACUUUGAGGAAAUUAGAGUGUUCACGGCAGGCUAUCGCCCUGAAUACAUUAGCAUGGAAUAAUAAGAUAGGAUCUCGGUUCUAUUUUGUUGGUUUCUAGGAUUGAGAUAAUGAUUAAUAGGGACAAUUGGGGGCAUUCGUAUUAACGCGUC